UUAAAGUGCUUGUAUAUAAUUUA
rnacentral:siRNA from 1 species